rnacentral:rRNA from 1 species
CCUACGGGAGGCAGCAGUGGGGAAUCUUGCGCAAUGGGCGAAAGCCUGACGCAGCCAUGCCGCGUGAAUGAUGAAGGUCUUAGGAUUGUAAAAUUCUUUCACCGGGGACGAUAAUGACGGUACCCGGAGAAGAAGCCCCGGCUAACUUCGUGCCAGCAGCCGCGGUAAUACGAAGGGGGCUAGCGUUGCUCGGAAUUACUGGGCGUAAAGGGAGCGUAGGCGGAUAGUUUAGUCAGAGGUGAAAGCCCAGGGCUCAACCUUGGAAUUGCCUUUGAUACUGGCUAUCUUGAGUUUGGGAGAGGUGAGUGGAACUCCGAGUGUAGAGGUGAAAUUCGUAGAUAUUCGGAAGAACACCAGUGGCGAAGGCGACUCACUGGCCCAAUACUGACGCUGAGGCUCGAAAGCGUGGGGAGCAAACAGGAUUAGAUACCCUGGUAGUCCACGCCGUAAACGAUGAGUGCUAGUUGUCGGCAUGCAUGCAUGUCGGUGACGCGAGCUACGCAUAAGCACUCCGCCGUCGGGAGGUACGGUCGCGAAGAAUUAAACGUAACGAAAGGAAGUAGACGGCGNGAGACGUAGCCGAACGGACGACGACGAGGGAGGAGG